rnacentral:rRNA from 1 species
GUGAGGAAUAUUGGUCAAUGGGCGGGAGCCUGAACCAGCCAAGUCGCGUGAAGGAAGAAGGAUCUAUGGUUCGUAAACUUCUUUUGCAGGGGAAUAAAGUGCGGGACGUGUCCUGUUUUGUAUGUACCCUGAGAAUAAGGAUCGGCUAACUCCGUGCCAGCAGCCGCGGUAAUACGGAGGAUCCGAGCGUUAUCCGGAUUUAUUGGGUUUAAAGGGUGCGUAGGUGGUUUGAUAAGUCAGCGGUGAAAGUUUGCAGCUUAACUGUAAAAAUGCCGUUGAAACUGUCGGACUUGAGUGUAAAUGAGGUAGGCGGAAUGCGUGGUGUAGCGGUGAAAUGCAUAGAUAUCACGCAGAACUCCGAUUGCGAAGGCAGCUUACUAAGUUACAACUGACACUGAAGCACGAAAGCGUGGGGAUCAAACAGGAUUAGAAACCCUGGUAGUCC